rfam:Mesocricetus auratus contig188815, whole genome shotgun sequence.
AUCUACGGCCAUACCACCCUGAACGUGCCCGAUCUCGUCUGAUCUCAGAAGCUAAGCAGGGUCGGGCCUGGUUAGUACUUGGAUGGGAGUAUGAUCAUGAGCAUGCCACAGAGCUCAUGUGGAAGAAGACGGCUUGUGGAGC